rnacentral:rRNA from 1 species
GCUGCCCUCUUUCUUCUUGCCUAAUACAUGCAAGUCGAGCGAACAGACGAGGAGCUUGCUCCUCUGACGUUAGCGGCGGACGGGUGAGUAACACGUGGAUAACCUACCUAUAAGACUGGGAUAACUUCGGGAAACCGGAGCUAAUACCGGAUAAUAUAUUGAACCGCAUGGUUCAAUAGUGAAAGACGGUUUUGCUGUCACUUAUAGAUGGAUCCGCGCCGCAUUAGCUAGUUGGUAAGGUAACGGCUUACCAAGGCAACGAUGCGUAGCCGACCUGAGAGGGUGAUCGGCCACACUGGAACUGAGACACGGUCCAGACUCCUACGGGAGGCAGCAGUAGGGAAUCUUCCGCAAUGGGCGAAAGCCUGACGGAGCAACGCCGCGUGAGUGAUGAAGGUCUUCGGAUCGUAAAACUCUGUUAUUAGGGAAGAACAAAUGUGUAAGUAACUAUGCACGUCUUGACGGUACCUAAUCAGAAAGCCACGGCUAACUACGUG